AUUGAACGCUGGCGGCAGGCCUAACACAUGCAAGUCGAGCGGAUGAAGGGGGCUUGCUCCUGGAUUCCGCGGCGGACGGGUGAGUAAUGCCUAGGAAUCUGCCCGGUCGUGGGGGAUAACGUCCCGAAACGGGCGCUAAUACAGCAUCCGUCCUGAUGUAGAACGUGGGGGUUCUUCGGACCUCACGCUAUCAGAUGAGCCUAGGUCGGAUUAGCUAGUUGGUGGGGUAAGGGCCUACCAAGGCGACGAUCCGUAACUGGUCUGAGAGGAUGAUCAGUCACACUGGAACUGAGACACGGUCCAGACUCCUACGGGAGGCAGCAGUGGGGAAUAUUGGACAAUGGGCGAAAGCCUGAUCCAGCCAUGCCGCGUGUGUGAAGAAGGUCUUCGGAUUGUAAAGCACUGUUAGUUGGGAGGAAGGGCAGUGAGUUAAUACCUGGCUGUUUUGACGUUACCAACAGAAUAAGCACCGGCUAACUACGUG
rnacentral:rRNA from 1 species